GUAGAGAAAAAGCUGAAAUCCCAAAGAGGGGACAAAGCCCUUUACUUGUUUGCCCAUCUCCUUACCAGACUUAGCAGAUGAGGAGCUCAGGGCGUAAGAGACAGGUCUGAGGUAUGGGACCAGGCAAUGCCACUGGCCUGUUCUCGGGAACCCAGCAACUGGUUAUGUCAUCAUCUACCGCCACCAGGUGUGCUAGGCAUGUGCUGCAGAUAAAAGGUCCCAGCACCCACCCCAGACUCUGCCUGCAUGAUCAACUUCUCUGCCUCCCUCUCUGCAUGUCGAUUUCCCUGGCCCUGUGCUUUGAGACCAGUGAACUCGCCCAAGAGCUGCCUCCAAUAAACCUGCUUCUAUACUUUUAAUUCAGCUUGAAUUUGGCUUAUUUUGUUGGCCAGAGAAAACCUAUUAUCUGGUACCAUUCAUUGAUGUGGACCAGUGGCUGUGGAGUACAUAUCCCAAGGAAGGAAGCAGUGAAUCAAUGAAUGAGUUCCACAGAGACAGGAAGCCAACAGUCAUUACUUCAAUGUGCCUGACCUGCAUAAAGAAUAGGAAAGGUAGAACAGGGAGUUGGGGGAUCUGGACCUUUUGAGGUAUGUAUGACCGCUGCCCCCUACCCCAUACCACAACCACUGUUUUUUGUUUUAACCUAGAAGUAAUCAUAAUG